CACGUAGGGGGCGAGCGUUGUCCGGAUUUAUUGGGCGUAAAGAGCUCGUAGGCGGUUCGGCAAGUCGGGUGUGAAAUUUCGAGGCUCAACCUCGAAACGCCACUCGAUACUGCUGUGACUGGAGUCCGGUAGAGGAGUGCGGAAUUCCUGGUGUAGCGGUGAAAUGCGCAGAUAUCAGGAGGAACAUCCGUGGCGAAGGCGGCUCUCUGGGACGGUACUGACGCUGAGGCGCGAAAGCGUGGGGAGCAAACAGG
rnacentral:rRNA from 1 species